rnacentral:misc_RNA from 1 species
CAGCGUGACCGCGCUCAGCAGCGCCCCCUGCCAGGUGAUCAGCCAGACGAAGCGCGGCUUCAUCACCGGCUCGCGGGGGUCGCGCGGCGGGCGCUUCAUCACGUCCGGGGCCGACGGCUCCAGAGCCAGGGCCAGGGCCGGGAACACGUCGGUGAUCAUGUUCAGCCACAGGAUCUGCAGGGCACCGAGCGGCAGCGGCCAGCCGACCAUCAGGGCGACGAAGACCACCAGGAUCUCCGCCAGGUUGCAGGAGAACAGGU